CAUGGGUAUCGCGGAGCCAGAGGAUGGGUUCGUUUCAGUUCGGCUGGAUCCACACAGGUGCUGCAUGGCUGUCGUCAGCUCGUGUCGUGAGAUGUUCGGUUAAGUCCGGCAACGAGCGCAACCCACACUCUUAGUUGCCAUCAUUCAGUUGGGCACUCUAGGAGAACUGCCGGUGAUAAGCCGGAGGAAGGUGUGGAUGACGUCAAGUCCUCAUGGCCCUUACGGGUUGGGCUACACACGUGCUACAAUGGUGGUGACAAUGGGUUAAUCCCAAAAAGCCAUCUCAGUUCGGAUUGGGGUCUGCAACUCGACCCCAUGAAGUCGGAAUCGCUAGUAAUCGCGUAACAGCAUGACGCGGUGAAUACGUUCCCGGGCCUU
rnacentral:rRNA from 1 species